GUUGGAACAAAUUGUUCUCAUCUACCUAUUCUACCAGGUCACCUCUUCUAAUGACACCAAAGAUGACCCAUAGUUGUAACUAGAAUGGGGCCCCCAGAGCUUUGCCCUAGGAUGCUGCCAUGGAGGAAAGAUGGAUCUUUACUUCUUCCUGAAAGCAGGAUGCUUACAGUCACUCAGCUUUGUCCUGCUCCUGGGUCUUCUCCCAGGCUUCUCCUUCCCUCCCUUUCUGAAGAUUGGGGGAUCAGAGAUUAUGGAAGAAAUAAUCAUAAAAGUCAAGGACUAUGUCUUGCCCCAACUUCCUUUACAAGACAUGGGGUGUGGGAGCCUCUCAUCUGGAAGUGGCCUGUCUGAACAAAGGGAGGAAGGAAACAAGCAUUUAUUAAGUACUUACUAUGUGCCA